AGCGAACGUUAGCGGCAGGCCUAACACAUGCAAGUCGCACGAGAAUCCGGCUUCGGCCGGUAGUAAAGUGGCGGACGGGUGAGUAACACGUGGAUAAUCUGCCCUUCGGCGGGGGACAACAGACCGAAAGGAUUGCUAAUACCGCAUACGUCAGCGAGGUCUUCGGACCUUGUUGGGAAAGAUGGCCUCUUCAUGAAAGCUAUCACCGAAGGAUGAGUCCGCGGCCCAUCAGCUAGUUGGCGGGGUAAUGGCCCACCAAGGCUAAGACGGGUAGCGGGUCUGGGAGGAGGAACAGCCACACUGGAACUGAGACACGGUCCAGACACCUACGGGAGGCAGCAGUGGGGAAUAUUGGGCAAUGGGCGCAAGCCUGACCCAGCCAUGCCGCGUGAGUGAUGAAGGCCUUCGGGUCGUAAAGUUCUGUGGGGAGGGAAGAAACCGGACGUGGAUAACACCCACGGCUCUUGACGGUACCUCCUUAGCAAGCACCGGCUAACUCCGUGCCAGCAGCCGCAGUAAAAC
rnacentral:rRNA from 1 species